UCUUAUUCUCUCUCUAUUUUUCAACUAGAAAGAAAAAAAAGAUUUCUCUCUCAUGAAAUGCCCUCAAUCACAUCUUAGAAACUACAUUUCUAAAGAAAAACACUCUCUCAGCCUUUUUUUUUAUAAAAACUCUUUCAUCCCCCACCUUAAUCUUCAUCGUUUUUCUCCCACAUCAACCAUCUGCCACCUCACUAAAACUCGACCACAUUACUCCUCCAACAACCACCCUCCACCUCUCAUAUCACACCAGAACCAUCAUCUACCACAACAACUUCUUUUGCACU
rnacentral:lncRNA from 1 species